ensembl:lncRNA LINC01301 long intergenic non-protein coding RNA 1301
GCGCCCUGGGCUCCUGAAAAUCCAGGGCUGCAGUCAUUUGAAGGCUUGACUGGGGCUGGAGGAUUUUCAUCCAAGAUGGCUCACUCACCCAGCUGUUGGCAGGAGACCUCGGUUCUUUGACUUCUCCGUAAGACUGUAGACAGAGCUGCCCCGUGUUGCCCAGGCCGGAGUGUAGUGAUGCGAUCUUACCUCACUGCAGCUUUGAGUUCCUGGGCGUGGCACAAGCAGUUCUUGAACUCCUGGCCUCAAGCGAUCCUCCUGCCUUGGCCUCCCAAGCUGCUGGGAUUACAGGCGUGAGCCACUGCACCCAGCUGGAAUGCACAUUCUAAGUUACAAGAUCAAAUAACAAGGGAAAGAAGACUUGAUUAUGUAUACACACACAAAAAGAAAGUGUUAUCAAAACUGACAAGAAAAAUGAGAAGACAGCCAUCUGCAUGUCAAGAAGAGGACCUCACCAGAAACUGAGUUGGCUGAAACUUUGAUCUUGAACUUCCCAGCCUCAAGACCUGUACUUCUGUCCUCUGUGGUGGAGAAUAAAGGGAAGCCAGGAAGUGUGGGUCAGGAUCUCUGGGAAACUGCUGGCUUCUAGCAAGGCUGGCACGGGUGUGUUCCCAUGGAAGGAAAGAACCAAAGGUGCUGGUGAGUAGCUCACCACAGGGGUCAGCCCUGCAGCCCUCUCUGUGAGAUUGUCCUCAGCCUGUGCCUUGGGAAGUAGAAUUUCCUAUAUGUUCUCCACUUAGCAUGUUAUCAACAAUAUACCCCAUCAGGCACUCCAUAAAUAAAUGAAUGGAAAUCCUCCAAAUCAGGAUAAAGCUCAAAUACUGUCUCUUCUGUGAAGACUACUUGGAUCCCCCAAUCAAGAACAAUCCUUUACACUUCCCUUCUCUGGCUGCCUGACAUGAGACAUAUUUCCUGGUGUUGACUAAAUCCAGGGCUCACCCUAAGAUUUUUACCAGAGAGUAAGAAUGUGGGAAUAAUUGUAUAUCCCAUGGGUGGCCACAUGUAUAUAUUUAUCCCAUCCCACAUGCUCUUCUUGCAGUCUGACAGACACUCCCCCACCAGGAGCUGGGAGUGACGGGAGUGAUGUUCUCUACUCUUUAAUUGGGGUAUAGUCUUGUGCAUCUCUUGACUGCCGCAACAGGGUAUGGUGGAAGGAAUCCCAUGUGGCUUCUGAGGCUAAGAGGCUAGAUCACAAAAAGGAGAGGUUUUUUUUUGUUUUGUUUUGUUUUGUUUUGUUUUCUCUCUAUCUCUGUCUCCCAUGAAGCUUACCCUUGGAACUCAGCUGCUAUUUUGUAAGGAAGUCCAUGCCUCUGCUAGAUCUGCAGCCAAUAGCCAGCCUCACCACCAGAUGUGUAAAUGAGCCUCAGAUGAUGCCAGCCUCACCCUUCGAGUCUUCCAGUUGAGGCCCCAUUGUGCAGAAGACAUAAGGCAUUCCCACAUGCCCUGUCUGAACUUCUGACCCACAAACACUAUCAGAGAUAAUAAAUGAUCAUUGUUUUAAGUUACUAAGUUUUAAGUUACUUAAUUAUGCAGCAAUAAAUAGAUAAUCAAUACAAAGGCGCAUACUGUUCCAUGUAUAAAUGUCUACCGUAUCUUUCAUGCCUUCUUCCAACCCUAACUUGUAACACUUUUGUAGCAAUUAGUGCCCAAUUUGCACAUGAAAUACAAAUCAUAUUUCUGUAAAUGGUCAUGAGGGUUAAAUAAAGAUCAUACAUGAAAGAGCCAGGCAGGGUGUUCAGUAAUAUGAAGUACUCAGUAAAUGUUAACUACACACGAAUUUGCUGAAACAUGUUUCUUAUGUUUAAAUAAUGAAUUUGCUUUUCCUUGUAUAUCUUGCCUGUAUGACACAAAAGGACACAGUCUGAUCACAUCAGUUCAGCAAAGGCAAGCCUCAUCAGUUGGUAAAAAAAAUUGGUUUAAUGAAUUGCAAUCACACAAACAAAACUACAACUUACUUGAUUAAGUUUUCCACCUCUCAUCUGGUUUCUCUACCUUAUAUUUGUAUUCUGAUUCUGUCCUUUUAUUGGUUUUCCUUUCCUUUUAAGUCCUUGGAUGAAUUUUUAAAUAUCUAUUGCAUUUUUUUAUGUGGCCAAAGUCUCUUGAAUAAGGUCUUAUUGAAAUUUCUUCAAUGGCUGGAUAAAAUUGCAUCCCAACUCAAUUUUUGCAUCCUGGCACAGGAAGUGGUCUCAAGUAUUGCAGAACUGGAUGGAGACUCGUAGGCCCUCUGGGCAGGCUAAUACUUUGCUUUCCCAUCACAUGGAUAUUCAUAAAAUAUUUGUUAGAUGUUAUGUAGGAGUGAGGCUAGAGAAGGCUAGCAGGACCAGGGCUUACUCACAUUCUGGCUCUGUAAGACAGUGAUCUGGCUGUGAUGGCCACAGUUGAUUGGCUGUCUUCUCAGCCCUCCGCAAAUGCACUCAUCGGGAGCAGGUUAACCUUCUCAAGUAGAGGAUGUUCCUGUGUUCUGUCAAGGAUAUACAGGACACAGUCUGUGCCGAUGCUUUUUUCGUGCAUGAAACAUAUCAUCUUAAGAAGAUUUGCAAGUCCGUUUGUGUGUAGUACAGCAGCAAGGAUCGUAGACCUGGUGUCAGCAAGCCUGGACACACAGUUUCUCUGAGCCUUUCAAAUGAAGGUCUUGGAUAAAAUCACUUUUAAAGCUCUUGCCUGCUAUAUUAUUUCAUCUCUUUCUUAUAUGAGCUGCAUGAUAAAUGAGUAUAGAAAAAAGAAUACACAUGCUUUACAAGAGAAAUUCAAAAGAAUUAACCUAUAUAUCCUUUUAGGUUAAUUAAAAUAGAAUUCUGACUUACGAGGUUUCCAUCUAAUUCAGAGCUAAUACUUUAAAGUUUUUACAAAAUCUUCGUAAAACAAAACCAGUGAGUAAUAUAUUACCAACUAUAGGAUUCAUGAAAAAAUGGGAGUCAAAUGAAGCACUGCCACAUUGAUCAAAUCAUUGUACAAUUUUUAGAAAUAACAGCAUGUGAACCUUGAUGUCACUGCUGCAAAUGCAUUUCUAUAUUUUGUGUAUAGUUUUGAAAAAUUUGUAGCCUGAUGCUACAAAUAUGUAAUAUAAUUUCCUUCAGAAAAUAAUAUUUAUAAUUAUCAGUACCCAAUGAUUGCAUGCAAGAGAAGUUUACUUGUUGGCUGAAUUACAUUUAUUGAGAAGUAAGAAAAUAAAAGAUCCUGGAACGAUCACUACAGUAACGAAACGGCUGAGUUGCCCACAGUUAAACUGCUGGGACUACCAGUUGGAAAUCAGACAAUGAAGAAGGAGAAGACAUGAGUUCUAAUAAGGUGAAAAUUGUUCUUCAGGGAAAAUGGAAUAUUAAACAUAGUUUGGUUUUGCAAACACUCUAGGUUAUGUAAAAUGUAAAGAUGAAGCUAGAAAUUCAAGUCUGGAAAGAACUAUAGAUACCUAGAUACACUGAGCUUUGACUACAGUGGCCUAUUUAUACAUAGCUACUGGUUACUUCCACUGAAUUGUAUUUACGAUUUAAAAUUUAUG